rnacentral:rRNA from 1 species
UAGGGAAUCUUCGGCAAUAGGGGGAACCCUGACCGAGCAACGCCGCGUGAGUGAAGAAGGUUUUCGGAUCGUAAAGCUCUGUUGUUAAGGAAGAACGAGUGUGAGAAUGGAAAGUUCAUACUGUGACGGUACUUAACCAGAAAGGGACGGCUAACUACGUGCCAGCAGCCGCGGUAAUACGUAGGUCCCGAGCGUUGUCCGGAUUUAUUGGGCGUAAAGCGAGCGCAGGCGGUUAGAUAAGUCUGAAGUUAAAGGCAGUGGCUCAACCAUUGUAGGCUUUGGAAACUGUUUAACUUGAGUGCAGAAGGGGAGAGUGGAAUUCCAUGUGUAGCGGUGAAAUGCGUAGAUAUAUGGAGGAACACCGGUGGCGAAAGCGGCUCUCUGGUCUGUAACUGACGCUGAGGCUCGAAAGCGUGGGGAGCGAACAGG